rnacentral:lncRNA from 1 species
UUGGACGUAUCAUUUGGACCCAUCCUCUUCUUUCACUUUAGAUAUGGGCCUUUUGAAUCCAUAAAGGCUUUUUCACCCAAUGCAUACUGGGGUCUUUCUCUACUGCUCUUGGUAUCGGCUUUUUGAUAUGCUUCUACUGGUGCUUAUGGAGAACUUGCUGGAUCGAACCUAAGGAUAGGUUUCAUCGGCCUGGCCUCGGAGGGGAGAUCCUCCUAAACCGAGUCGCG